GACGAACGCUGGCGGCGUGCUUAACACACGCAAGUCGAACGAUGAAGCCGGAGCUUGCUCUGGUGAAUUAGUGGCGAACGGGUGAGUAACACGUGAGUAACCCGCCCUUGACUCUGGGAUAACUGCGGGAAACUGUAGCUAAUACCGGAUACGACCCUCGGAGGCAUCUCCUGGGGGUGGAAAGAAUUUCGGUCAAGGAUGGACUCGCGGCCUAUCAGCUAGUUGGUGAGGUAAAGGCUCACCAAGGCGACGACGGGUAGCCGGCCUGAGAGGGUGACCGGCCACACUGGGACUGAGACACGGCCCAGACUCCUACGGGAGGCAGCAGUGGGGAAUAUUGCACAAUGGGCGCAAGCCUGAUGCAGCAACGCCGCGUGAGGGAUGACGGCCUUCGGGUUGUAAACCUCUUUUAGCAGGGAAGAAGCGAAAGUGACGGUACCUGCAGAAAAAGCACCGGCUAACUACGUGCCAGCAGCCGCGGUAA
rnacentral:rRNA from 1 species